GUGUCAGCCGCCGCGGUAAUACCUGCAGCUCAAGUGGUGACCGCUAUUAUUGGGCCUAAAACGUCCGUAGCCGGUUCUAUAAAUGCCUGGGUAAAUCGUACGGCUUAACCGUACGAAUUCCGGGUAGACUGUUCAACUUGGGACCGGGAGAGGCUAGAGGUACUCCUGGGGUAGAGGUGAAAUUCUGUAAUCCUAGGGGGACCACCAGUGGCGAAGGCGUCUAGCUAGAACGGGUCUGACGGUGAGGGACGAAGCCCUGGGGAGCAAACGGGAUUAGAAACCCCUGUAGUCC
rnacentral:rRNA from 1 species